rnacentral:rRNA from 1 species
AUUCGAUGCAACGCGAAAANCCUUACCUACCCUUGACAUGUCAGAAACUUGGCAGAGAUGCCUUGGUACCCGAAAGGGAAUCUGAACACAGGUGCUGCAUGGCUGUCGUCAGCUCGUGUCGUGAGAUGUUGGGUUAAGUCCCGCAACGAGCGCAACCCUUGUCGUUAAUUGCCAUCAUUUAGUUGGGCACUUUAACGAGACUGCCGGUGACAAACCGGAGGAAGGUGGGGAUGACGUCAAGUCCUCAUGGCCCUUAUGGGUAGGACUUCACACGUCAUACAAUGGUCGGUACAGAGGGUUGCCAAGCCGCGAGGUGGAGCCAAUCCCAGAAAGCCGAUCGUAGUCCGGAUUGCAGGCUGCAACUCGCCUGCAUGAAGUCGGAAUCGCUAGUAAUCGCGGAUCAGCAUGUCGCGGUGAAUACGUUCCCGGGUCUUGUACACACCGCCCGUCACACCAUGGGAGCGGGUUCCGCCAGAAGUAGGUAGCCUAACCGCAAGGGGGGCGCUUACCACGGCGGGGUUCGUGACUGGGGUGAAGUCGUAACAAGGUAGCCGUAGGGGAACCUGCGGCUGGAUCACCUCC